rnacentral:rRNA from 1 species
AACGAACGCUGGCGGCAGGCUUAACACAUGCAAGUCGAGCGCCCCGCAAGGGGAGCGGCAGACGGGUGAGUAACGCGUGGGAAAUCUACCCAUCUCUACGGAAUAACGCAUGGAAACGUGUGCUAAUACCGUAUACGUCCAUCGGGAGAAAGAUUUAUCGGAGAUGGAUGAGCCCGCGUUGGAUUAGCUAGUUGGUGGGGUAAAGGCCUACCAAGGCGAAGAUCCAUAGCUGGUCUGAGAGGAUGAUCAGCCACACUGGGACUGAGACACGGCCCAGACUCCUACGGGAGGCAGCAGUGAGGAAUAUUGGACAAUGGGCGCAAGCCUGAUCCAGCCAUGCCGCGUGAGUGAUGAAGGCCCUAGGGUUGUAAAGCUCUUUCACCGGUGAAGAUAAUGACGGUAACCGGAGAAGAAGCCCCGGCUAACUUCGUGCCAGCAGCCGCGGUAAUAC